UGCGUAGGCGGAAGAUUAAGUCAGUGAUGAAAUCCUGCAGCUCAACUGUAGAACUGUCAUUGAUACUGAUUUUCUUGAAUAUAGUUGAGGUAGGCGGAAUGUGUAAUGUAGCGGUGAAAUGCUUAGAUAUUACACAGAACACCGAUUGCGAAGGCAGCUUACUAAGCUAUGAUUGACGCUGAGGUACGAAAGCGUGGGGAGCGAACAGGAUUAGAUACCCGAGUAGUCC
rnacentral:rRNA from 1 species